rnacentral:rRNA from 1 species
GGGGGAAAAAUUAAUAAUAAAUUAAUUGUAAUAAAAAAAUUUUUAAAGUUAAAUAAUUUAAUGGGGGUUAAAGUAUAUUAAUAGAAAAAAUAAGAAAAAUUAUAAUGAAAUAGUAAUGUGAAAUAAUUUUGAAAUAAUGGAAUUGAAAAUGAAGUUUUAAUAAAGUAAUUUUAGUUUAGUGUAUCUUGUGUAUCAGAGUUUAUUAAAAAAAGAAUUAAAUUUAAUGAUUCUCGAAUUUUUAAGAGAAAAUUAAUUAAUAAAGUUAUUGUAGUAAAAAUAUUUUUAAUAGUUAAUUUGAAAUGAAAUGUUAAUCGUUUAAAAAGAUAUCUAGUUUUUUUAGAAAAAAAUUUAAUUUUAAAUUUUAUUUUAAUUAAAAAAAAUUAAUUUUUUUUAAUUAAAAUAAAAUUAAAUAAUUUAAGGGAUAAGCUUUAAAUUAAAUAAUUAUAAUAUUUAAUUUAUAAAUAAUAAAAAAUUUUAAAAUUUAAAUUGUUUAAAAAUUAAAGUUUAUUAUAAAUAAUUUUUAAUUAAAAUAAAAUUUUUUAAUAAUUUAAUUUUUUAUAAAAAAAUAAUUUUUAAUAAAAUUUAUAUAGUUAUAAUGAUAAAAUUAGUAUAAUAAUUAAAUAUAAAAAAAAAUAUUUUUUUAAAAAUAAUUUAAAGGAAUUCGGCAAAUAUAUAUAUUCACUUGUUUAUUAAAAACAUGUCUUUUUGUUAAUAAUUUAAAGUCUAAUCUGCCCACUGAUAAAUAUUAAAGGGCUGCAGUAUUUUGACUGUACAAAGGUAGCAUAAUCAUUAGUCUCUUAAUUGGUGACUUGUAUGAAAGAUUGGAUGAAAUAUAAACUGUCUUUAUAUUAAUAAUUAGAAUUUAAUUUUUUAAUUAAAAAGUUAAAAUAAUUUUAAAAGACGAGAAGACCCUAUAGAGUUUAAUAAUUAUUAUAAGUUGAUUUUUUUUAUGGGAAAAUUUAAUUAAAAUUAAUUAAAUUAUUUUAUUGGGGUGAUAAAAAAAUUAAAAAAACUUUUUUUUAAAAAAAAACAUAAAUAAAUGAAUGUAAUGAUCCAAAAAUUUUGAUUAUAAGAAAAAAUUACCUUAGGGAUAACAGCGUAAUUUUUUUUUUUAGCUCUAAUAAAAAAAAAAGUUUGCGACCUCGAUGUUGGAUUAAGAUAAAAUUUAGAUGCAAAAGUUUAAAAUUUUGAUCUGUUCGAUCAUUAAAAUCUUACAUGAUCUGAGUUUAAACCGGUGUGAGCCAGGUUGGUUUCUAUCUUUAAAUAAAUAAAAUAUUUUAGUACGAAAGGAUCAAAUAUUUAAAAUAAAUUUUAUUUUGUUGAAUAUUAUUAAUAAUAAAAUAUAA